CUGAGUACAACGGGCAGUACAGCCUAUUCUACAGGUGUUCUGUAUUUGACUUCACUUUUAUGAUCAGAGUGUAUUUAGGACCAGGUUAGAUUACUUACUGUCCGUACAUCUGUAUGAAUAUCUGGCUGCAUAAUUGAAUGAACUGAAUGAGGAUGAGCAGCCACUGAAAGAUGUGUCAUUUACCUGUUUGUUUAGCUCUCUGCUGAUGCAUCUCCGCUGUAGGCUCCUCCACGUGCAAGCAGCUACAGCUUCAGGGAGCUCCGGGAAGCUUUGCUCCCUUGCAAUAGCUAAGGAUCUGGCCCACAAUAGCUGCAUGACUCGCCAGGACAUCCUGUUUCCUUUGAAGACAACAGGAAUGGCUCUGUUCAGACAGAUUGGUUGUGAACUUGCAGAUUAGUUAGAGCACUCUCCCAGGAAGAGGGACACCCAGGUUUUAACCUCAAAGACUACGAACAUGAGAUUCCAGCUUCCUAGGAAAAUAUCCAAACCUCAGGCUGGGAACUAAGAGCUGGGAGAUGGAGGAACGACCUAUUGAAUCAGGGUGAAGGUACUUUCUGUGGUAGUCCUGGCCUAAAGGGAUUCAGUUGCCCUUCACUCUUCUCUACAUACCUGCACCUUUCAUGGGACUGAGAGUGCAAUUCUUGUGCAGAGGUUCAGAAGUGACAGAGAUAAGCUCAGAGCCCGAAAGUGGCGAGGUUUCUGUAAACCUAGCAGGAGUAUGAGCUAGUCUUUAUAAAAGACGAUGGUGUGAGCUGGUGUAAAUCCUACUACAUGCUCUGGGAUAAGCCCUCAGCAGGGGUAAGAGUACUGUCAUAAGGCUCACCAAAAGCAUAACAACGGAGUCAUAGAUCCUGUCAUGAAUUCCCUGUUCCCUUGCAAGGCUCCCUUUAUGAAGUGAGUCAUUUUUUUAAUUGCAUAAUCAUUACACAGAUUAGGACUGCACUUUUAGGUGUUGUAGUCUUAUAAUAAUUAAAAACAAAAUUGUCUUUCAACUUUUAGAACAUAUAUGCAAAAGUUUAGAUUUGUUGUUAGCAAAAGCAUUUAUUUUAGCCUAAUUAUCCUACUGUAUUACUGUUGAUGAAAUACAAUGCUUGUUUCAAUUUCCUUAGCUUGAAGAUUAAUGUUAAAUAAUUAAUUUUGUAAACUGAACUGGAUUUGAUAUUCCGAGCUUGGAUCCUCCAGAUUGCUGCUCUUUCUUCACAUUUCAUGUUGUAUCUCAUUGGUCUCGGUGGUGUUCUCUCUGUUUUGUUAAUUAUGUUUUGUUUGUUUUAACACGCCACUCUGCAGUGUGGUAUGUGAGUAUGUGGGUGUGUAUCAGAGCUUUACCCGGUAUACAUAUUAAAAUACAGUUUUGCUACAUCUUGCCAAAGCGUUCUCUUCCUGAAACAGCCUGAGUU
rnacentral:lncRNA from 1 species